rnacentral:rRNA from 1 species
GGUUAAGCGACUAAGCGUACACGGUGGAUGCCCUGGCAGUCAGAGGCGAUGAAGGGCGUGCUAAUCUGCGAUAAGCGCCGGUAAGGUGAUAUGAACCGUUAUAACCGGCGAUACCCGAAUGGGGAAACCCAGUGUGACUCGUCACACUAUCAUUAACUGAAUCCAUAGGUUAAUGAGGCGAACCGGGGGAACUGAAACAUCUAAGUACCCCGAGGAAAAGAAAUCAACCGAGAUUCCCCCAGUAGCGGCGAGCGAACGGGGAGGAGCCCAGAGCCUGAAUCAGCAUGUGUGUUAGUGGAAGCGUCUGGAAAGGCGCGCGAUACAGGGUGACAGCCCCGUACACAAAAGCGUAUGUGCUGUGAGCUCGAUGAGUAGGGCGGGACACGUGGUAUCCUGUCUGAAUAUGGGGGGACCAUCCUCCAAGGCUAAAUACUCCUGACUGACCGAUAGUGAACCAGUACCGUGAGGGAAAGGCGAAAAGAACCCCGGCGAGGGGAGUGAAAAAGAACCUGAAACCGUGUACGUACAAGCAGUGGGAGCCCCACCACUAAGCCAGUGGUGAACUCCACAUACGCAUCCUUUGCUGAGGAUACGGUUAACGGAGCGAAAGCGACGUUCAACCUCAAAAGAAGCAGAGGGGGCUUAGUGGUGGGGUGACUGCGUACCUUUUGUAUAAUGGGUCAGCGACUUAUAUUCUGUAGCAAGGUUAACCGUAUAGGGGAGCCGGAGGGAAACCGAGUCUUAAUUGGGCGUUAAGUUGCAGGGUAUAGACCCGAAACCCGGUGAUCUAGCCAUGGGCAGGUUGAAGGUUGGGUAACACUAACUGGAGGACCGAACCGACUAAUGUUGAAAAAUUAGCGGAUGACCUGUGGCUGGGGGUGAAAGGCCAAUCAAACCGGGAGAUAGCUGGUUCUCCCCGAAAGCUAUUUAGGUAGCGCCUCGUGAAUUCAUCUCCGGGGGUAGAGCACUGUUUCGGCUAGGGGGCCAUCCCGGCUUACCAACCCGAUGCAAACUGCGAAUACCGGAGAAUGUUAUCACGGGAGACACACGGCGGGUGCUAACGUCCGUCGUGAAGAGGGAAACAACCCAGACCGCCAGCUAAGGUCCCAAAGUCAUGGUUAAGUGGGAAACGAUGUGGGAAGGCCCAGACAGCCAGGAUGUUGGCUUAGAAGCAGCCAUCAUUUAAAGAAAGCGUAAUAGCUCACUGGUCGAGUCGGCCUGCGCGGAAGAUGUAACGGGGCUAAACCAUGCACCGAAGCUGCGGCAGCGACACUAUGUGUUGUUGGGUAGGGGAGCGUUCUGUAAGCCUGUGAAGGUGUGUCGUGAGGCAUGCUGGAGGUAUCAGAAGUGCGAAUGCUGACAUAAGUAACGAUAAAGCGGGUGAAAAGCCCGCUCGCCGGAAGACCAAGGGUUCCUGUCCAACGUUAAUCGGGGCAGGGUGAGUCGACCCCUAAGGCGAGGCCGAAAGGCGUAGUCGAUGGGAAACGGGUUAAUAUUCCCGUACUUGGUGUUACUGCGAAGGGGGGACGGAGAAGGCUAUGUUGGCCGGGCGACGGUUGUCCCGGUUUAAGCGUGUAGGUGUGUGUUCCAGGUAAAUCCGGUUCACUUUAACACUGAGGCGUGACGACGAGGCACUACGGUGCUGAAGCAACAAAUGCCCUGCUUCCAGGAAAAGCCUCUAAGCAUCAGGUAACAUCAAAUCGUACCCCAAACCGACACAGGUGGUCAGGUAGAGAAUACCAAGGCGCUUGAGAGAACUCGGGUGAAGGAACUAGGCAAAAUGGUGCCGUAACUUCGGGAGAAGGCACGCUGACACGUAGGUGAAGUGAUUUACUCACGGAGCUGAAGUCAGUCGAAGAUACCAGCUGGCUGCAACUGUUUAUUAAAAACACAGCACUGUGCAAACACGAAAGUGGACGUAUACGGUGUGACGCCUGCCCGGUGCCGGAAGGUUAAUUGAUGUGGUCAGCGCAAGCGAAGCUCCUGAUCGAAGCCCCGGUAAACGGCGGCCGUAACUAUAACGGUCCUAAGGUAGCGAAAUUCCUUGUCGGGUAAGUUCCGACCUGCACGAAUGGCGUAAUGAUGGCCAGGCUGUCUCCACCCGAGACUCAGUGAAAUUGAACUCGCUGUGAAGAUGCAGUGUACCCGCGGCAAGACGGAAAGACCCCGUGAACCUUUACUAUAGCUUGACACUGAACAUUGAGCCUUGAUGUGUAGGAUAGGUGGGAGGCUUUGAAGCGUGGACGCCAGUCUGCAUGGAGCCGACCUUGAAAUACCACCCUUUAAUGUUUGAUGUUCUAACGUGGACCCGUUACCCGGGUUGCGGACAGUGUCUGGUGGGUAGUUUGACUGGGGCGGUCUCCUCCUAAAGAGUAACGGAGGAGCACGAAGGUUGGCUAAUCCUGGUCGGACAUCAGGAGGUUAGUGCAAUGGCAUAAGCCAGCUUGACUGCGAGCGUGACGGCGCGAGCAGGUGCGAAAGCAGGUCAUAGUGAUCCGGUGGUUCUGAAUGGAAGGGCCAUCGCUCAACGGAUAAAAGGUACUCCGGGGAUAACAGGCUGAUACCGCCCAAGAGUUCAUAUCGACGGCGGUGUUUGGCACCUCGAUGUCGGCUCAUCACAUCCUGGGGCUGAAGUAGGUCCCAAGGGUAUGGCUGUUCGCCAUUUAAAGUGGUACGCGAGCUGGGUUUAGAACGUCGUGAGACAGUUCGGUCCCUAUCUGCCGUGGGCGCUGGAGAACUGAGGGGGGCUGCUCCUAGUACGAGAGGACCGGAGUGGACGCAUCACUGGUGUUCGGGUUGUCAUGCCAAUGGCACUGCCCGGUAGCUAAAUGCGGAAGAGAUAAGUGCUGAAAGCAUCUAAGCACGAAACUUGCCCCGAGAUGAGUUCUCCCUGAGACUUUAAGUCUCCUGAAGGAACGUUGAAGACGACGACGUUGAUAGGCCGGGUGUGUAAGCGCAGCGAUGCGUUGAGCUAACCGGUACUAAUGAACCGUGAGGCUUAACCUU